rnacentral:tRNA from 1 species
GGAGGGUAUAGCUCAGUGGUAGAGUGUGUGCUUAGCAUGCACAAGGUCCUGGGUUCAAUCCUCAGUACCCCCA